rnacentral:rRNA from 1 species
UACAGAGGGUGCGAGCGUUAAUCGGAAUUACUGGGCGUAAAGCGCACGUAGGCGGCUUCUUAAGUCAGGGGUGAAAUCCUGGAGCUCAACUCCAGAACUGCCUUUGAUACUGAGAAGCUUGAGUCCGGGAGAGGUGAGUGGAACUGCGAGUGUAGAGGUGAAAUUCGUAGAUAUUCGCAAGAACACCAGUGGCGAAGGCGGCUCACUGGCCCGGUACUGACGCUGAGGUGCGAAAGCGUGGGGAGCAAACAGG